rnacentral:rRNA from 1 species
UGGGGAAUAUUGGACAAUGGGCGCAAGCCUGAUCCAGCCAUGCCGCGUGGAUGAUGAAGGCCCUAGGGUUGUAAAGUCCUUUCGACGGGGAAGAUAAUGACGGUACCCGUAGAAGAAGCCCCGGCUAACUUCGUGCCAGCAGCCGCGGUAAUACGAAGGGGGCUAGCGUUGCUCGGAAUCACUGGGCGUAAAGCGCACGUAGGCGGACUCUUAAGUCGGUGGUGAAAUCCUGGAGCUCAACUCCAGAACUGCCUUCGAUACUGAGAGUCUCGAGUCCGAGAGAGGUGAGUGGAACUGCGAGUGUAGAGGUGAAAUUCGUAGAUAUUCGCAAGAACACCAGUGGCGAAGGCGGCUCACUGGCUCGGUACUGACGCUGAGGUGCGAAAGCGUGGGGAGCAAACAGGAUUAGAUACCCGCGUAGUCCCUGAGCGGGCUGGCAAGGCGCAU